CAGGAGCAAAGGCGGCGCGCUGAUUGGCCGCCGCGGCCGGGGGCCGGACAAGUUCUGGGCCUUCGCCGACCGCCCCCGCCCCCCCGGCGCGGCACUUUCAGUUUUGCCUCCCCCUUCGGCCCUGACCGCGGCGGGCACCCCGGAGGCCGGCCUUCGCCGCGCCGCCCGCACCUCCACCCGGGCCCUGGCCACUCUCCGGCUGCCCGCGCCCUGGGCUCAGCCGACCUGGCUUUGUCAGCUCCUUAACGUGGAGAUCAGGCCCACCGGGCGGCGGCAUCUCUCCCGGGGCGCAGGGGCACCGGUGGCGAGUCUGACCCUCGAUGCGCGCCCAGGAGAUUUCCAGCCUGAAAGAAAAGAGAUGCAUGGAUGAAGUGAAGAAAGUUAAGACCAUGGGGUUCUGAAUUUGUUAAAAGAUCAGUAUGAACUCAUGGUAUGUUCUCUCUUAAACAAUGUAUUUCCUGGCCCCGACCACCGAAAAGACCAGAAACGUUGAGCCACCCAGUGACAGUCAGCUGACGUUGAGCCAUCACAGUGUCCAGACUGACUGUAGCCCCUCCUUGAAGAAAUGGCUGGCUUACAGUCUGGGACAAACACGCACAAGAUAAGCCCGGAGCACCUUAUUAUGCAGAAAGCCAGGAAGCUCUCCGUGACUCCUGGGAUCAUGUCGGAGAGACUCAAGAACGAACCUAAAGAUGCCGCCACAGACCAAAGAAGGCGAGGGAUGAGUAUCUGUAUAAGAACAAUGACUGCACAGGAUGGACCCAUUGGCUAUGGUAAAAACCACCAGUUUAUAACAUCCAUCAAGUAAAACACUUAUUGGUCACCUUUGACUGAUCAUUGGAAACUGACUCAGGAUUCCAAAACUUAGUAAAUAAAAGGAAAGGCUCAAGCACAUGACCAGCCUUCCUUACCAAGUUAUACCCCAGAGGGACAUGAGCUGCUGGAAAGCAUUUGCUCCCAGAUGUGCUCCAGGUAACAGAUAGAGGCUGAAGGGUAGCAUGGCUGCAUCGCCGGUUUGCAACCUCAUCCUGGUAACUCACAUCACCAAGCCAGAGGCACGGCCCCGGUGGUGAGGCUCUGAGGCACCUGGGAAGGAUUCCUGCCCAGUCACCCCACCUGCGGCCCAGGCAGAUGUUUCCAGGAAACCCAGGGCACAUCCUGGGACAGGCUGAAUGGCGUCAUAGGGAUGUGGUCACACCAGCCCCCUCCCCUGCUCAGGACCUGGAAAGGGCUCAUCUCUCUUAGUGUAAAAACCUAUCUUGACCAGGACCUGGAAGGCCUGCCCAUCUGGUGAUGAUACUGUCCCCUUCUGGCUCUGCCCUCCUGUCCCAGUCUCUGUCCUGCUGGCCUCUGGGCAGCUCCUCUCCACACAGUGCGUGCCCCUUGGAGGGCCCCCCUGGAACUCUCUGCCACCCAGAGGGCCAUGUGGCUGACUUCCUCACAUCCUUCAAGUCUGUCUCGGAUUCCGCCGUCACAUCACAAACCACCCAUCCAUCCGCUCGCUGCUUCGUAGGCUGGCAGGUUGCACUGUGUCCAGCAGGGUGGGUUUCCUGACAUGCUGCCUGGUGGCACCUUGGCCUGUGGUCAUCUCAUGGCUUCAACCUGAGAUGGCCUCAGUCACAGGGUGGGUGGGUGGAAGGCUGUCGGCCGGGCCCCAUGGCUUCUCCAGCAGCAUAGCUUAUGCUCUUUCUCUCUGUGGUUUCCAGACUCCAACCACAGGACAAAGAGCCAGGGGUAAUGCACAGCUGUCAAGUCUUCUUUCGUGUCAUAUUUGCUAAUGUCCCAAAGGCUAACAGAUCAACAGAUGCUGUGGAGUCCCUGGCUGCAGAGAUAACAGGCCACGUGGCUGACAUCUCCUCGCCGAGGACUGCGGUUCUAUCCUGCGGAGAGUGAGCACUUUAUUGUACCCGGUGGGAAGAAGUGAUUGAAGGGAGAAGACUGUUAACGCGGGGCCUCUUUAUUAACGGUCACUGGCUGUGUGUUAACAUGUGCUAAGAAGCGCAGCGGGAGCCACACAGACAGAUACUUCACAUCCAGCGGUCGAGGGUUCCAGGCGGCGCAGGAAGCAAGGCUGAG